CGACGUAAUCUCGACCUGCUACUUCUCUCAAAGCCCUCGCCACCUCCUGCCUCCGCCGUCCUUGCCGUCGCCGCCUCCAUCCCUUCCGCCUCUGCCUCUGCCUCCGUCCCUGCUGCGCCGCUGCCUCUCUUGUUUUGGGUCGCUUCCUGCACGGUUGUUGCCCUGUUCUCAUUAUCAACCUUCCAUUGUUCCUCAAUCCUCUCCACAAGCAAUUUUCCUCUUCCUCAUAAGGUACACAUGAGCGUUCCUAAUGUUGGACAAUUUAUUGAUUUGCUGAUCUCAAUUCCUGCUGAAGGACAUGAUAAUUCCUUUGCUUAUGUAAUGUCAGAAUGGACUAAGCAACAAGGUUGCUGUAUCUACCAACAGGGAAGUGGAUGCUCACAUCCCCAACUAUCCAAGUUUACCUCCCCAACUUAUCUGUCAACUUCAUAAUGUGACUAUGCAUGCAGAUACUGAGACAGACGAAGUAUACGUGCAGAUGACCUUGCAACAUCUGAAUCCUGAAGAGCAGGAGGGAUACCUUCCAGCAGAGUUGGGGACAGCGAGUAAACAGCCAACAAAUUAUUUCUGCAAAAUUUUGACGGCCAGUGAUACAAGCACUCAUGGGGGAUUCUCUGUUCCUCGCCGGGCAGCUGAAAAAGUUUUUCCUCCAUUGGACUUUUCACAGCAGCCUCCUUGUCAAGAGUUAAUUGCAAGGGAUUUGCAUGGUAAUGAAUGGAAAUUCAGACAUAUCUUCCGUGGCCAGCCGAAAAGGCAUCUACUUACAACAGGAUGGAGUGUCUUUGUGAGUGCUAAAAGACUAGUUGCUGGUGAUUCUGUGCUGUUUAUCUGGAAUGAAAAGAAUGAAUUGCUUCUCGGCAUUCGGCAUGCUAAUAGACCACAACCUAUGAUGCCUUCAUCGGUGCUGUCAAGUGAUAGCAUGCACUUGGGGCUUCUUGCUGCUGCAGCUCAUGCAGCUGCAACAAAUAGUCGUUUCACCAUUUUCUAUAACCCGCGUACUAGCCCAUCAGAAUUUGUCAUACCUUUAGCGAAGUAUGUUAAAGCUGUGUAUCAUACUCGAGUUUCAGUUGGUAUGCUCUUCAGGAUGCUAUUUGAAACAGAGGAAUCUAGUGUGCGGCGGAAAAGCCAAGUUACUUUAGUACAAGCAUCACGAACAAAACAAAUCAUUUUGGGAUAGAAAUAUAAGGAAAAGAUGUAGGUUUUGGUCCAUAAGCAAUAAGCACUACAGGGUUUGGAGAAUCCAUUAAGAGGUUGCUGUUUGAUAAUGGUGAGAUACAGGGGGCCUAUCAAAUAAAAGUUACUACAAGCGCCCUGGCCUUGUUGCUAACCAGUAGGCACAAUGAACUGGCAAAAAUUCAUGUCAAUGGCCAUCUG